rnacentral:lncRNA from 1 species
AUCCCUAAACAGACCCCGCCCACUUUCUAAAAAAAAAAAAAAAAUCUGGACCUUUUCCUGCAGACAAAAGAGGAGCGUCUGUGAGCACGCUGAGCAUCCACCGACCUGACGCACCCGGCGCGCAGACACGCACGCCUCCUCCAGACCCACCUGAAGACCUGCCGGCCGGCGCGAUUAUUGUCCUUGGUGAAGGACGGAGAAAAAAGAAGAUCUGGUUUUAUUCAUCAUUUAUCCAGAGGCGCGCGGUUUGAAUGAUGUCAUACCUGUGGAUUCUGCUGUUAGGAAGCCUUUUAGCUUCACACGGCUUGGCUGAAGAUGAGGUAAUGCCAGAUGAUGCUGGGGCUCCUGCGAGCCCGGCCACCGUGGAAGAGGACGGUGCAGAUGCAACGCCAGUAGGAGUAGAAGAGGCAGGUGGUGACCCACCACAGGGAAGUGAUCCUGAUCCUGAACCUGAACCUGAACCUAAGCCCGAGCCUGCAUCUGAGCUUGAACCUGAGCUUGAACCCGAGCCUACACCUGAGCCCAAGCCUGCAUCUGAGCCCGAGCCUGCAUCUGAGCUUGAACCUGAACCUGAGCCUACACCUGAGCCCGAGCCUGCAUCUGAGCUUGAACCUGAACCUGAGCCUACACCUGAGCCCGAGCCUGCAUCUGAGCUUGAACCUGAACCUGAGCCUACACCUGAGCCCGAGCCUGCAUCUGAGCUUGAACCCGAGCCUACACCUGAGCCCAAGCCUGCAUCUGAGCUUGAACCUGAGCCUACACCUGAGCCAGUGCAAGAAAUCCAGCCUGAAACACUUGCUCCAACAGCAGCAGCAGCAGGAGAUACUGUUCCAUCCUCAGAAGGAAAUCCAGAUGAUACAGUAGAUGCCACAACAACUGCUACCACAGUAGAAAGUGACAUUGAGGGGUCCGGAACGCUAACAGCAGUUAGUGAUCAGAUGACCACUUCUACAACUGUUGCUGCGUGUUGCAACGGGGAGACAGGACAAGUUGGUGAGACAACAACAACUGAAGUUGCUGCUGCUGAGGAGACAACUGUUUUGUCAAAAGGCCCCACAGGACCACCCAUUGAAAAAACAACUACUGAUAAAGUGAAACCUGGUGGAAGGAUGUUGCAUCAAGAGCCUCUAAGUAAGAAUACAUAUAUUUCCAUUCACUCUAACAUUUACACAUUUAGAGGGAAAAAAUGUUACAUUUGACAGACUGAUUGUUUUGGAGAGCGUCAAAGUGUUAUCUAGCCUCAUACACAAAACAGUUUUUUCAAACAAUAAAGAUUUAAGCAGAAAAGAUUAAAUGAUAUGCUUGAAAGAUAUAUUAAAGAAACUGUUCCAGAGAGCCAGGCAGAAUCCCUCUGACUGAGCCAGUUAGACGAUUGUUAAACCACUAGUGUUGUGGUGUCACUACAGGCCGUCAGUGGCAGCCAUUUGCGUGCACUUUUUUUUAAAUGAAACUCAACAAGUCAGUUAAAUCUGCCGAUAGCAAAACUGCUGAACAAAACUGAGAUGAUCUUGUUUUAUGUCCUUUGCAAACUGUACAAACUAGUUUGUAAAACAACCCUAUUCAUUUGAGAUGUAGCUUGUCUGGUGAAAGAAUGUUGUCAUGUUAGUAACUAUGUGAGAGGAAGAACCACACUUCUUUUCUUUGUACGUUUUUUAAUCUUGUUUAAUCCUUCCAUUCUCGUUGGUGCUGAACUUUUAUUUUAUCUUUGAUUUUUGAGUGUCACUAAUGUCAAUGGCAGAUAUAAAAUCUGGAAGGGUUAAAGCUGAUUUUUUUUUAAAUUUUAAUUAUCAAAAGUUACAGUAAAUUUGUUUCAAAUGAACAUUUUUACAACUCAAGUCAAAAAUAGAUAAACACUGUAGUUCUGAUCAGAACAUUUUUUUUGGCAGAUGACUUGAUUGAUGUAUGUCAGGAUUUUUAGGCAAAAAAAAAAACACUGAUUUUUUUUAAGCUGUUACACGGUGUCCAGAUCUUUACGCCCCAGACUACUACACUUCCACCAACAACUUUGACUUCAUUCUUGCAAACUCUUUGGUCAGUUUUUAUCAAAUUGUAACUUUUUUUCCCCUUUCAAAUUUUUUUUCAAAUAUUAUUCUUGAAUUAUAUUUUGUUAUGACUUACUGGGUGACUUGCCAAACUCCUAUGGUCAUUUUAAAAGAUUAAACAUUCCUGAAAUAUAUACCACUUCUCCAUAUUUUGUGUUAAAACUGCUCCCAACUUGGUUUUCUUGAGCCUUUAAGACUGAUCCAAAUUCAGAACUUUCUUUCAUACGUGUUCUAUUUUAUUUUAUUUUUUUUUUUGAAGAUGGGAACAAGGUGUUUCAAUUUUUUAGAUCUUUUAGCAUUCCUCAUUUUGUAGGAUUUUCUUUUUUUAAUUCCUUUGUAGAUUUAAUAUGUCUGGAAGCAAUCAGUAUUGGGUGUGGCUGGUAGAUUAAUACAUCUUUCCCAGAAGCAUGUUGAAUCAUGGCUCAUGUAUGACACAUGGAAGCGAUAGAGUCGAAGCAGAGCUUUAUUUCUCAGCACAUAUUAUCACAAUUUAAAACCUGACUUUUAGAUUUAUUUGGGUUUUCUUGUGAAAUUAUCAAAUUUUGUUUACUCAUUUAAAUCAUCUGUUUGAAUAGCACCUUAAAAAAUGGCCUGUUUUAAAAAAUGUAAGACUAAUUGACUGGAUGUAAAGUUUUUUGUUUUUUUUUCUGUUGUAAC